AACCCGUCCGAGGGAAGCUGAAUGGACGGAUCCAGAGAAACGUCACGGCCAGCCGCAGCCAUGAAGACCGUGCGGUCCAACCUCCAGGAGCUCAGAUGCUCUCCGUCUCCGGAGCCGCUCGUUGCGCAUGGAGUCCAGCGGCUGCAGGCGACAGUGUAAGAAUGUGUCCGGUGUUGGCCGGCCUGCGGUGUGGGUGGAUGGGUAGCCUUCGGGGUUGGUUGUUAUCUUUGGUUAUCUAGCUGUAUGAGUGAUGUACAUUCUUCAUAAAGCUAGAUAACCGAAAGUAACAAGAAUCCCAUUACACUCCUGAAAAGGCAUCAAGACCCAAAAUGUAUCUUCAUCCAACAACAGGAACAUCAACAAAAACAUAAAAAUCAUGCAUUCUUCCACCUGAACAGUGACACAAGUGAAGAAAACGAGCAACAUUUGAACCAACAUGGAACAAGGAGCACUGACAGGCACCAUACCAGUGAAGGAAAGCUGGCAAAAAGCAGACUGAAAAACAGAGAGUGAAGGAGGAGGGGUUGCUGUUGAUUCUGCCCUCCCUUUCUCCUCGCCCUCCUCUGCAUCGCCUCUCCCCUCCUCCUCUUCCUUCUCCCAUCCUCUGCUCCAUCCUCAGCAGACUGCCCCUUUUUUCCUGUACAAUGAGACGCAGCCCACGCCACCAUCUUAGAGCAACGCUGGCAUGAAAUGGAAGUGGGAAGACCACGCAGUGCAGGUGAAAGUUGUGGGUGUAUGGAGGGACGAUGCACAAAAUUAAGGAUGUAUUUGACAAUGCGUGUGCAUAUGACCUUGUGGUGGUGAUUUUGGAGCCCUUCCCUCAUUUCGGCCUGGACAUUGACCAUAAUGAGUUCUAUGCAUCUCAAGUUAGCAUAUAGUGGAGUGGAGUGAACAGUGAACUGUCACUGUGGAAACAAGGUUUGGAGAGAAGCUGAGUCAUUGAGGCAUGGACAGAUUAGCCCCAUGAGUCAGGUGUUUGUAUUUUUAUGUGAAUAAUAUUGGACUUUUUAAUUAUUAUUGUAAACAUAUUACCACUUGAUCUAUGAUGUAUCUUCACUGACUUCUUAAGUGGAACUGUAGCCCAUGUUAUGUUCAGUUUCAUUUUUGUCAGAGUUGCUAGGAAUCAAAGACACAUGAAUGUAAUACCCACGGCA